rnacentral:lncRNA from 1 species
ACGGAUUGUUAUUGCAAUAGUUAUUGGCAGUGGUUUUGUUGAUAUUUUAUAGUAUUAUUAAAGAAGAAUAAUGAAUAAAAUUUUCCUUUUUGUUGAUUGUAUUUGUCGCGAAAUGGCUGUGUGGACAGGUGUGCACAACGCGUUGUGGCAUGUUCAUGUUUCCAAAACGCGUUUUGGUCAAUUGUUGAAAGAACCACAACACAAAUUUUGCUUUGUGGCCUUUUUGAGUAUAGCAAAACGCGUUGUGAGCUCUUUUGAAAGUGGCACGACACGAAUUUCGUAUUGUGGUUAAAUCAGAAAAGUCAGAACGCGAUAUGGUCGUUCUUUUCGCUCAAAGAGCUUUUCGGUCAUUGAGCCUAACAGAUAUACCGGUAUAUAUAUUAUUUUCUGUAAUCGAAAAUCGGUUGUUGUCAAGUGAUUGUUUAAAAUUUUGCAGAAUGAUGCCUGAUGGUUAUAAUCAAACUGUUUUACUUUAGUUAUCAAAACUGGCAAAUCAUGUAAUUGUAAAAUAACUCCAAUCCGAAACAGAAUUUCAAUGUAAAGCCGGAAAUUUUUCACUUGUCGUCGAAAUUAUUAUGUUUUUAUUGAUAUCAGUAUAUUUUCAGAACGUAUAAAUGAACCUAUUUACAAAUUUCCUAUAAACCUCCAAGCGACAUUAAAAGGCAUCGUUCCAUAAGGACAACUGUCCUAAUUCAUCACUUAUUACGCAGUAGGGAGUUAGAAAGUUCAACACCAUCUGCUUACAUUCGUAGUCUGACUAUCAGAUUAAUGUUCUGAAGUUAAAUGCGCCGGAACAGGAUUCUGAAAUAUUCUUAAAUCGCAUUUUCCAUCACCUUCCUUCCUAUACAGCUGACCGAUAUACAAUAUAUUAUUAUUUUAUUUAAUUCUCAAAGGAUUAUUAUUAACGAAAUAUAAAAAAGUAACAAACAUUUGUAAAAUGUGAAAUAACUAAUUUCAUGUAAUAAUUUUUAAUCAGCAAUGAUAAAAUUAAUAAAUUUCGAUUAUUAAAUGAACCGAAUUACAAAACACAUGAACA